CACUGGUCGAGUCGGCCUGCGCGGAAGAUGUAACGGGGCUAAACCAUGCACCGAAGCUGCGGCAGCGACGCUUAUGCGUUGUUGGGUAGGGGAGCGUUCUGUAAGCCUGCGAAGGUGUGCUGUGAGGUAUGCUGGAGGUAUCAGAAGUGCGAAUGCUGACAUAAGUAACGAUAAAGCGGGUGAAAAGCCCGCUCGCCGGAAGACCAAGGGUUCCUGUCCAACGUUAAUCGGGGCAGGGUGAGUCGA
rnacentral:rRNA from 1 species